CUGAUGGAUCUUGAGGGCCCUGCUCAGCUCCCCCUGGGCACAUUUAACAAGCUCAGCCCCACAGCUGAGCUCCUUAUGCUUUCCUGUCCUUCAGGGAGCUACUUGUGCUUGCUGUGCCCUGACUGAACAACUUCAAUGCUGUCUCCUGUGUGGUGUGCAAGACCAAGCUGGCCACAGGACGAAGAAGGAUGGAUUACACUGCCAGAAAAGGGGUCUGGGGGUGUAGAAAGCUCAGGUGAACGAGGUGAAAGGUUUUUCUCCCAGAGUCUUCCAAUGAGGAACUGCUCCAGAGGUGUCCACCAGUCCAGCCCAGAGCACUGCCUGCAGGUGCUGCUGGGAAUCUGGUGACUCUGCAGUAAUUCCUGUCCAUGUGAAAGUACCACAGGGCUUAACGCCAUCUUCCCCAACAUGUGCAGAAUUCCUGUGUGUUAAGUGGCCAGCACACUCCACUAAGCAUUAUGGCAGGGUUUGAACCUUCAUCUGCUGCAGCCUUGGACAGGAGGUUUUGGGAGAGAGGCAGCACAGUGCACAGCGCAUGGGGUUUCCUGGAGAACCCCACAAACAGUAUUACUAGCAGGCCUGAGAAGAAGGUGAACCAACCUCCUCAUGAACUGGAAGACUCAGAAUUUGUAGGAGAAAGAGAGGAACAUUUUAUGCUGGCAUCAAUGCCAAAGAUGUGGUGCUACCUCCCAGUAUCUCCACAGAGUCUGUGGAGAGACAUAGAUGCUUCAAGAGAUGCUUUACUUCAGAGCCUUCAUCAGAUAUCAGCAGAAUGUCAGCCCAAAUGAGGCUCUGACUCAUUCCUGGUCUUUCAAUCUUUGCCUGCUUAUCUGUGUGCCCUUUAGCUUGACUGUGCUUGAAGAUGUAAUUUGAUUGCCAAGGCCACCUCCAAUCCCUCCUUUCUCCUUUGUGUGUGUGGAGUUCUUCCACCCUGAUUUGUUCCUCCCACCCAGCCUUUGUAUAGAGCAACCUCCAACACAAAGUGCCCAAAAAAGGAGUGUGCAGUUGUGAGGUGCUUGUCACUAUACACCUCGUCACAGCAGGGAGGUGACUCAGCCGCCACCCUACAUGGCUGGGAUGUGUCACCAAGUGAACGAUGACAUUUUCAAUGCAGCAAAGUUUGGAAGUGGAGAAGAGGAGGAAUUAGGCUAUGAAAGGACGUAGGGGAACAUCAAUGUUUCCAAUGAUCUGAAGGUUUUAGUAAGAAAUAUGCAGUUUAAAGAAGUUAUGAUAUUGUCACCUGAGCACAUUGUGGUCUGUUCUAUUCUUUUCCUUUUUAGUAAAGGGAAGACUGGUCUAGUGCUUAGACAUUUUGCACAUGAACUGAGUAAUUUAAAUUCAAUGCCCUGUUCUGUAGCAAAUUUCUUUGAUUUCUUUUACCCCAGCUCUAAAAAAAUGUUGAAAAUAGCACUGCACUUGUGAGACCGUGGGGAGAUUUCAGUCACAGUCUAUAUACAUUGUUGUCAUGGAGUAGAUCUGUUUGAUGGACCCCCCCCUUGGUGCAUCAGUUUGUGCAGCUUUGGGAGCUCUUGAUGGGUAAAACCAUGAAAGUGCAAAACUUUAUUUUAGCUGUUAUGGAGGAAAAAAUGGAUUCACUACUUUUGGUGGCAGAGUUUGGACUAAAAAUAAGUGGUACAUAGACAUGGGUGUCAAGGCUGUCAUAGAAAUUAACAUAUGGAGGCAGCUUUUCCUGAAAGGACAGGGUACCUGCAUCCUUCAGAUACUAGAAAUGGUGAAAUAGGAGUUUUUGAAACAAAAAAAAACUAGUCUGGGGUCUUGGGGAGAGAUACUUUAUAAGAAUGGGAGAUUUCCCUUCCAUAGAUAGAGCUCAUAUUUAUUCUUUGCAGCAAUGGACGGCUUCAAGAACAGCUAAAGGAGGAACAAGUCAGGUAUAAGCUGGGGUUCAAUCCACCACAGACUUCUUUUGUUACUGUGUAGAAAUUACUUAGGUACAGUGAGCCAUGGUUUAUUUGUAAAUUGGGAAAAAUAUCCUUAUCCUGUCUCACAGUGGUCCUUGGUCCUACUGUUAAUUUGUCAAAUUUUUUAUAGACCAUUCAUGUGCCAUCCUGAUGUCUGCAACUCUAGAGCCUCCUUUGGAUAUAGCCUAAAACAAACAUCCCUGUUGCUUCAGAGAUAUUGUGGGACCAUUUGGAAGCGGUAGACAUGAAGUCCUCCAGAGUCCGAGUUCAGCGUAGUUCCAGGGUGAUUCCCAGAGAAUCUCCUUUGUGUGUUCAGGAGGACACGCUCUCGUCUCUGUUGUGGGCUGUUAAAACAGCUGACACCUAUCUCCCCAGAGGAGCUGUGUGCCAAAACUGGCAAAUCUCUGUGUACAGUAAACCAGUGCAGGGCAUUUAAGCAUUUUGAGAUUCCCUUGGGGAGAAGGAAACUUUCAUAACAGGAUGAAAGAGCAUUCUGUUUAGAUGGGAAGAGCCUAGAUACAUUCUUUCUUUGGUAGAGCUGUAAUUCCAUAUCCAGUGCUUAAUGAACAGGUGACAGUGAUAAAUGUUGGAAGAAUAUUGUUGUUGAACAAAUGUUUCAACCCAGCAGAUGGAAACAUGGAUUCACUUAGUCUUUAGGAGUUCAGAAACACGAAAGAAAAUUUGUGGAAUGAAUCUUCUGUGUCAAGAAGUCCAGGUUUGUGCUGCCAAAGAAAUUAGCUGUUUUACUAGUGAUUUAAGUGAUUAAACUCACUUCAAAACAAGCUAGGAAUCACUGCUACCAAAAAAUUGAUUGAUAUUCCAGCACUUGGGAUUAGAAAUCAUUGUGUAUUCCCCAGCUAAAAUGUCAGUGUAGGUUAAUUCUUUCCUUAGUGAUAAUUACUGAAGAUUUAUAUGGAGAAUGAUCACAUUAGGUUUUGCUUUUGUUUUUAUAAUCAAGGUUCCACUUGUGGGAUUUUUUUUUUUCUCUUCCUGAUCAUACUGUUAGCCCUAUUUCACACCACUUCUGAUCUUAGUAGCUCUUUGUGACUGUAGGUGACAGAAUUCUGCUUUAUCCCAGCAGAAUUCCUGUAAUCGUCUAACAGCUCUCUCUUACUGGAAAGAAGGCACCUCAUGUAUUACAAAGCUGUUUUCUCCCCCAUUCCUGCAUUUUGUUAAUGUCAUCUGCUUAACAACUAAUACAACAUGCUCUUUUUUUAUAUAUUAGAUCCUGCCUUAAAGUCACAGUUGUUAUUAGUCUUUAACUGCAUGCCUUGACUGUGAUCCUUCAGUGCACCACUAUGAUUCCUUCACUCUUGCCCUUGGCCAAUUUCUGUCACUUUUUAAGUUUAAUUUUGUAAGUGGAAAGGCAGAAUAAGACUGUGCCUUAUGGGAAUUUACUAGUAAAUUUCCAUGGCAAUGAGGGUUUUAUUUUACAGUGGGAAAAGAAAUCAGUCUCAGUUGUGGGGGGGUGGGAAGCAGACAAAUUAUUCUGGCAAUUGUUGAGGAAGAUUGAAUUGAGGUGCAAUAAUAUGUAGCCCCCAGUAUGCCUUGUAGAAUCAAAAAACUUCUUUAAGGUGUGCAUGUGUUGUCAAUUUGCCUCAACACCAAACUUGAGUUUCUAGUUAAGUAUAACGCAGUAAUAAAGAUGUGUCUGGGGGAGGAAUUCGAGUGCUUUUGUGUUAAUAUAGAUCCAAGUCCAUGCAGCAUCCUGACUGUCAGACUUCAGUCACUGCUUGUUGAAGUUCUCUGAAGGAAAACUUUUUGCUGAAUGGUUAUUGACUUCAAAUCUGCUUGUGGAAUUUUUAGUCGCUUCUAAAAAGCAUAAACACAAUGCUGCUUUUCAUAAAAGCUUUUUAAGUAAGUCCUCAUUAUCUUAUGAAAAAUAUGUUCUUUUAAACCCUCU